rnacentral:rRNA from 1 species
GACGAACGCUGGCGGCGUGCUUAACACAUGCGAGUCGAACGGAAAGGCCCUGCUUUUGUGGGGUGCUCGAGUGGCGACCGGGUGAGUAACACGUGAGUAACCUGCCCUUGACUUUGGGAUAACUUCAGGAAACUGGGGCUAAUACCGGAUAGGAGCUCCUGCUGCAUGGUGGGGGUUGGAAAGUUUCGGCGGUUGGGGAUGGACUCGCGGCUUAUCAGCUUGUUGGUGGGGUAGUGGCUUACCAAGGCUUUGACGGGUAGCCGGCCUGAGAGGGUGACCGGCCACAUUGGGACUGAGAUACGGCCCAGACUCCUACGGGAGGCAGCAGUGGGGAAUAUUGCACAAUGGGCGGAAGCCUGAUGCAGCAACGCCGCGUGCGGGAUGACGGCCUUCGGGUUGUAAACCGCUUUCGCCUGUGACGAAGCGUGAGUGACGGUAAUGGGUAAAGAAGCACCGGCUAACUACGUG